rnacentral:rRNA from 1 species
GAUGAACGCUGGCGGCGUGCCUAAUACAUGCAAGUCGAGCGAACAGACGAGGAGCUUGCUCCUCUGACGUUAGCGGCGGACGGGUGAGUAACACGUGGAUAACCUACCUAUAAGACUGGGAUAACUUCGGGAAACCGGAGCUAAUACCGGAUAAUAUAUUGAACCGCAUGGUUCAAUAGUGAAAGACGGUUUUGCUGUCACUUAUAGAUGGAUCCGCGCCGCAUUAGCUAGUUGGUAAGGUAACGGCUUACCAAGGCAACGAUGCGUAGCCGACCUGAGAGGGUGAUCGGCCACACUGGAACUGAGACACGGUCCAGACUCCUACGGGAGGCAGCAGUAGGGAAUCUUCCGCAGUGGGCGAAAGCUUGACGGAGCAACGCCGCGUGAGUGAUGAAGGUCUUCGGAUCGUAAAACUCUGUUAUUAGGGAAGAACAAAUGUGUAAGUAACUAUGCACGUCUUGACGGUACCUAAUCAGAAAGCCACGGCUAACUACGU